rnacentral:rRNA from 1 species
AACGAACGCUGGCGGCAUGCCUAACACAUGCAAGUCGAACGAGACCUUCGGGUCUAGUGGCGCACGGGUGCGUAACGCGUGGGAACCUGCCCUUAGGUUCGGAAUAACUCCCCGAAAGGGGUGCUAAUACCGGAUAAUGUCUUCGGACCAAAGAUUUAUCGCCUUUGGAUGGGCCCGCGUUGGAUUAGCUAGUUGGUAGGGUAAAAGCCUACCAAGGCGACGAUCCAUAGCUGGUCUGAGAGGAUGAUCAGCCACACUGGGACUGAGACACGGCCCAGACUCCUACGGGAGGCAGCAGUGGGGAAUAUUGGACACUGGGCGAAGGCCUGAUCCAGCAAUGCCGCGUGAGUGAUGAAGGCCUUAGGGUUGUAAAGCUCUUUUACCCGGGAUGAUAAUGACAGUACCGGGAGAAUAAGCUCCGGCUAACUCCGUG